rnacentral:rRNA from 1 species
UACAGAGGGUGCGAGCGUUAAUCGGAAUUACUGGGCGUAAAGCGCACGUAGUCGGCUUUGCAAGUCGGGUGUGAAAUCCCCGGGCUCAACCUGGGAACUGCAUCCGAGACUGCAUUGCUAGAGUAUGGGAGAGGGAAGCGGAAUUUCUGGUGUAGCGGUGAAAUGCGUAGAUAUCGGAAGGAACAUCAGUGGCGAAAGCGGCUUCCUGGACCAGCACCGACGUUCAGGCACGAAAGCGUGGGGAGCAAACAGG